CAAGUUAUUGCCUGUAAUCUAGAAAAAUGCUUCUUUUUGGCCCCUUAUUCCUAAAUGUUCAAGGAUAUUAACCCCAAACUAAAUCAAAGCCUUUCCUUCGUUAUAUGGAACCUUGUUGUACAAUGUCAGACAGAUCCAUACAGUUAUACAUAAGUUAUUGUCCCGAAACUACAAAAAUGCUUGUGUUUGGCCCCUUUUUGGUCCUUAAUUCCUAGACUGUUUGCCCC
rnacentral:lncRNA from 1 species